UGCGUAGGCUGCACGGAAAGUUGGGUGUGAAAGCCCUCAGCUCAACUGAGGAAUUGCAUCCAAAACUGCCGUGCUUGAGGGAGACAGAGGUAAGCGGAACUCAAGGUGGAGCGGUGAAAUGCGUUGAUAUCUUGAGGAACACCGGUGGCGAAAGCGGCUCACUGGGUCUCUUCUGACGCUGAGGCACGAAAGCGUGGGUAGCGAACAGGAUUAGAUACCCUGGUAGUCC
rnacentral:rRNA from 1 species